rnacentral:rRNA from 1 species
UACGUAGGGGGCUAGCGUUGUCCGGAAUCAUUGGGCGUAAAGCGCGUGUAGGCGGCCCGGUAAGUCCGCUGUGAAAGUCGGGGGCUCAACCCUCGGAUGCCGGUGGAUACUGUCGGGCUCGAGUACGGAAGAGGCGAGUGGAAUUCCUGGUGUAGCGGUGAAAUGCGCAGAUAUCAGGAGGAACACCGAUGGCGAAGGCAGCUCGCUGGAACGGAACUGACGCUGAGGCGCGAAAGCGUGGGGAGCGAACAGG